ACAGUAAGUGUAAAAUACUGUGACUGAUCUUUUCUUUGCUUAUAAUAACGGGUCCAGAUUAUUUCUCAUAGUUUUAUUUUUCUUGUCAAACUAGACUAAUUUCUUCAGUUUAUUCCUUCUAGUAUCUUUUAUUACAGCUGUCCAGUGGUUUGCAUUUCUGAAUUUAUUACAGUAUUUUAGGUCCCACAAUAGUUUUAUAGUUUAGAAGUCAUAUUUUAUGGUACAGUAAUUACUGUCAACACAUGUUCAUUAUCAGUAUUUAAUUUAUAGUUUUUAAAAAAGUAUAUUCAAUUCACCUUCUUUUGGGUUUUCCCUUUUGAAUCUGCUCCUGCAUGCAAUCCUGUAAGCUAACGGCAAUCAACAGGCAUGGCAACGUAGCCCUGAUUCUGGAAGGUGUCUUCACUGUAUGCAUGUUUUGAAUACACAGACUUCGGCAUUUCUACCUGACUGGCCCUAUAUGAACAGAGUCAGAUUAGCAUUUUAAAGACCUAUGUGCCAGCAUUCUUGAUGGUGGAAGGGAUAUGUCUGAGGUGGGAGGAAAAGAAGUCCUACAGUCCCAGUUAAAGAAAAGAAGGAAAUGAAGAUUAAGUAACCACGUAAGAGAGUCCUGGACUUCAGAAGAUUUGGCAUUAGUCAGGUAGCAGAGAAGAACAAGUCAUUCCUUUCAAUCCCAUGGGUAUUUCUAAUA